UCCCUGGUGGCUCAUGGUAAAGCGUCUGCCCGCAAUGCAGGAGACCCAGGUUCGAUCCCUGGGUAGGGAA
rnacentral:tRNA from 1 species